rnacentral:snRNA from 1 species
AGAAGUGAAGAUCAGGCUCCAUCAUUUGUCACCCCCACUAUCUGUCAGGGUUUAUUCAUAUGAUGUAGCUAGCUAGUCUCUUUUUUUUUUCUCCCUUCCUCACUUACAGCUCCAUGUGUGUUCUUCCUGAAGCUACACACUUAGUCAAAGCAGAUGACCUUUCUUUGCUCAAGCAUAUACGCGUUGCUGUGCUCUCCAGGUAGAUCCUCCAAAUAAGCUCUCAAGGUCCAAACGUGUACAAGUGCCAGUUUGCCUACAGUUACUGAAGGUAGAGCUCUUGGGAGUGUAAAUAACUUGUUUUACAUUUUCCU